UACGGAGGGAGCUAGCGUUAAUCGGAAUUACUGGGCGUAAAGCGUGCGCAGGCGGUUUUGUAAGCCAGAUGUGAAAUCCCCGGGCUUAACCUGGGAAUGGCAUUUGGGACUGCAAGGCUUGAGUGCGGCAGAGGAGACUGGAAUUCCUGGUGUAGCAGUGAAAUGCGUAGAUAUCAGGAGGAAUACCGAUGGCGAAGGCAGGUCUCUGGGCUGACACUGACGCUCAUGCACGAAAGCGUGGGGAGCAAACAGG
rnacentral:rRNA from 1 species